AGAUAAUUAGACAAGCUAGGUGCCUUUAGCUGCUAGAAAGCUAAAGGGUAAAAGGGAAGUUCGGUAAAAGCCGACGCGGUACCCGCCACUGUAUAGGGGAACUUCAUUACUUAAAAUCACUGAUUAAUAAAUUGGGAAGAUGUAAUGUUCGUGAUGAUCCUUAGCCAGGAAACCUGCCUAGAUUGCUUAACACUU
rnacentral:ncRNA from 1 species